rfam:Vigna angularis cultivar Jingnong 6 scaffold583_21, whole genome shotgun sequence.
UUACAUACCUGGAUGGGGUCAAUGGACGAUCAAGUAGGUCCAUGGCCUAGGUCAGUGGUUUUCAUUGCACUUGGAACGCCUCUGCUCUAAGGUCUACAAAAUUGUAGAACCUACAUCGUAAUUUGUGAGUGUGGGCCUGCGAUUCACGCGGCCCUUA